UCUCCGUAGGUGAACCUGCGGAGGGAUCAUUACAAGUGACCCCGGUCUUACCACCGGGAUGCUCAUAACCCUUUGUUGUCCGACUCUGUUGCCUCCGGGGCGACCCUGCCUUCGGGCGGGGGCUCCGGGUGGACACUUCAAACUCUUGCGUAACUUUGCAGUCUGAGUAAACUUAAUUAAUAAAUUAAAACUUUUAACAACGGAUCUCUUGGUUCUG
rnacentral:misc_RNA from 1 species